AUUGAACGCUGGCGGCAGGCCUAACACAUGCAAGUCGAGCGGAUGAAGGGAGCUUGCUCUUGGAUUCAGCGGCGGACGGGCGAGUAAUGCCCAGGAAUCUGCCUUGUAGUGCGGGAUAACGUCCGUAAACGGGCGCUAAUACCGCAUACGUCCUGAGGGAGAAAGUGGGGGAUCCUCGGAGCUCACGCUUUCUGAUGAGCCUAGGUCGGAUUAGCUAGUUGGUAGGGUAAAGGCCUACCAAGGCGACGAUCCGUAACUGGUCUGAGAGGAUGAUCAGCCACACUGGAACUGAGACACGGUCCAGACUCCUACGGGAGGCAGCAGUCGGGAAUCUUGGACAAAGGGCGAAAGCCUGAUCCAGCCAUGCCGCGUGAGUGAAGAAGGUCUUCGGAUUGUAAAGCACUUUAAGUUGGGAAGAAGGGCAGUAAGUUAAUACCUUGCUGUUUUGACGUUACCAACAGAAUAAGCACCGGCUAACUUCGUG
rnacentral:rRNA from 1 species